rnacentral:tRNA from 1 species
GAUGCAGCUCUGUAGUAGAGCACUUGCCUAGCAUGCAUGAGGCCCUGGGUUCAAUUCUCAGGCACCA